rnacentral:rRNA from 1 species
UACAGAGGGUGCGAGCGUUAAUCGGAUUUACUGGGCGUAAAGCGUGCGUAGGCGGCUGAUUAAGUUGGAUGUGAAAUCCCCGAGCUUAACUUGGGAAUUGCAUUCAAGACUGGUCGGCUAGAGUAUGGGAGAGGAUGGUAGAAUUCCAGGUGUAGCGGUGAAAUGCGUAGAGAUCUGGAGGAAUACCGAUGGCGAAGGCAGCCAUCUGGCCUAAUACUGACGCUGAGGUACGAAAGCAUGGGGAGCAAAC